GAACCAAAGCCGGCCGUUUCGAGACAAACUCACACCAUCCAUUUCAAAUGGGAUUUGUCCCAUGGACACACGAGCAAUCCAACCCGUUGGGCCUGCCUGACUGUGAGACCGACUGGUCGAACAGAGAUGAAAGUCGGCCAUAGUGAUCCGGGAGUCCCGUGUGGAAGGGCUCUCUCUCAAC
rnacentral:ncRNA from 1 species